AUGUCACUCAUAUUACUGUUGCUCCUCUCUGCAUUUGUAGGUGAUAGUAUGGAGCAGGAAACAAUAACUCCAGUGAAGCCUGAAGUCAAUGCUCUCCAAGGAACAGACAUCACUCUCUCCUGCAACUACAAGGGCAACGUUAAUAAUCUACAAUGGUACCGUCAAUACCCCGGAUCCAGACCAGAAUGUCUUCUUUUGAUCCAACAAAGCAGCAUGUAUGUACAGAAUACAUCCAUUACGACUCCACGACACACUGGUAGACUGAAUGAAGAGAAGACCCGUGUUGACUUGAUGAAGAAAAACCAUUUGGAUCUGGAGAUCUCCUCUGGUGUAGUGACAGACUCUGCUCUGUACUACUGUGCUAUUGCCGAGGUGAAGAGGCUGUUGACCAGCAGAGUGGACAUGUUUCUGCCCUUGAAGGAGGACUGGUAA